rnacentral:rRNA from 1 species
ACGUAGGGUGCGAGCGUUAAUCGGAAUUACUGGGCGUAAAGCGUGCGCAGGCGGUUGUGUAAGACAGAUGUGAAAUCCCCGGGCUCAACCUGGGAACUGCAUUUGUGACUGCACGGCUUGAGUGCGGCAGAGGGGGAUGGAAUUCCGCGUGUAGCAGUGAAAUGCGUAGAUAUGCGGAGGAACACCGAUGGCGAAGGCAAUCCCCUGGGCCUGCACUGACGCUCAUGCACGAAAGCGUGGGGAGCAAACAGG